AAUGGGUUGUAGUCCCUUGUUGCCUUGACUAGAACUUACUGCACAUGAAAGCAUACCUAAUGGCCACAUUGCCCUCAAUGCCAUCCAACGUCGCCAUGCAAAAGUUUCUACUGGGGACACAAUAUCCAUGAGCAGAUUUGUUCCACCUGAAGACUUCAACCUAGCAUUGCUUACUCUUGAAUUGGAGUUUGUAAAGAAAGGGGCUAAAGAUGAGCAGGUUGAUGCUGUUCUUUUGUCUCAGCAGGUUCAGAAGAGAUUUAUCAACCAGGUAAUAG